UACGUAGGCAGCGAGCGUUGUUCGGAGUUACUGGGCGUGAAGGGUGUGUAGGCGGUUCUUUAAGUUUGGUGUGAAAUCUCCCGGCUCAACCGGGAGGGUGCGCCGAAUACUGAGGGACUAGAGUACGGGAGAGGAAAGUGAAAUUCCUGGUGUAGCGGUGAAAUGCGUAGAUAUCAGGAGGAACACCGGUGGUGUAGACGGCUUUCUGGACCGUAACUGACGCUGAGACACGAAAGCGUGGGUAGCAAACAGG
rnacentral:rRNA from 1 species